GAAAGACUUGUUGUUAAGGCGUGUAUAGUGUAUCCACUUUGACGGGUGUUACUUCAGACUUGAAAAUUUGUGUUUAGCAAAAGUAUUUGUCAGAAAAUAUCGAGACAGAAAAGUUUGAGAGGGAGAAGGCUUGCGAGGGAAGAAACGCCUAUCAUGGAAUGGUCUGAUGACAACAUUCACAAUUUCAUGUUAUUAUAUCUCAUGACAGAGAGUGAAGAUUUCCCUCUGAUGGCCAUCAGCCUCUUACUGAAGAAUUCUAAAAGUAUUGACAAAUGUAAAUUAGAGCAAAUUAACAAGCAAUUACAUGAUCUGUCCGUUUCAAAAGAGAAUCUCAUCAAAGUAAAAAAAAAAGUGAACGGCAGUGAACAAUAAGGUCGAUUUCCUUUUAUUAACACAUACUGCAUAAUUUCGCUUCCAAUCAAGGGAU